rnacentral:tRNA from 1 species
GGUUUGUAGCUCAAUGGUAGAGCAUUUACCUGGCAUAGGUGAGGCCUUGGGUUCAAUCCCCAGCACCA